rnacentral:rRNA from 1 species
UACGUAGGGGGCUAGCGUUGUCCGGAAUCAUUGGGUUUAAAGGGUCCGUAGGCGGUUUGGUAAGUCAGUGGUGAAAGCCCAUCGCUCAACGGUGGAACGGCCAUUGAUACUGCCAGACUUGAAUUAUUAGGAAGUAACUAGAAUAUGUAGUGUAGCGGUGAAAUGCUUAGAGAUUACAUGGAAUACCAAUUGCGAAGGCAGGUUACUACUAAUGGAUUGACGCUGAUGGACGAAAGCGUGGGUAGCGAACAGG